rnacentral:rRNA from 1 species
UACGGGGGGGGCAAGCGUUGUUCGGAAUUACUGGGCGUAAAGGGCUCGUAGGCGGCCAACUAAGUCAGACGUGAAAUCCCUCGGCUUAACCGGGGAACUGCAUCUGAUACUGGAUGGCUUGAGUUCGGGAGAGGGAUGCGGAAUUCCAGGUGUAGCGGUGAAAUGCGCAGAUAUCAGGAGGAACACCAAUUGCGAAGGCAGCUCGCUGGGACGUAACUGACGCUGAGACGCGAAAGCGUGGGGAGCAAACAGG